GCCUGCAGCAAUAGUACAUUGAAUCCACCAUAGAUAACUGAAGUUAAGCAAUGUUGUACAUGGUUAGUGCAAGGAUGGCUGACCAUCUGGGCGAUUGAAUGCUGCUGGCU
rfam:Asian citrus Psyllid, Diaphorina citri - Florida Strain, whole genome shotgun sequence.